ACAGCAGUCGCCACGGGAAUACGGAGGGAGUUAGCGUUGUUCGGAAUUACUGGGCGUAAAGCGCGCGUAGGCGGCUUUGUAAGUCAGAGGUGAAAGCCUGGAGCUCAACUCCAGAACUGCCUUUGAGACUGCAUCGCUUGAAUCCAGGGGAGGUGAGUGGAAUUCCGAGUGUAGAGGUGAAAUUCGUAGAGAUGUGGAGGAACACCAGUGGCGAAAGCGGCUCUCUGGCUUGUAACUGACGCUGAGGCUCGAAAGCGUGGGGAGCAAACAGGAUUAGAGACCCCUGUAGUCCCUGUCUCUUAUAC
rnacentral:rRNA from 1 species